UGAGACACCGUGCAGGACUGAAUACCCAAGUGCCCAAGGAUGGUGCCCUACCCGCUGCUGUGUCUCAUGGUCAUCUGUGGGGUUCAUAUUGGACAGGUUCACGCUCAGAAAGAGUGUAAUAAGUGUGACUUUAAGUUCUAUUCCCGGUGUAUGUUUACCGCCAGCCAGAGCGUCCAAUGCAUAGAUGACUCGUAUAACUGUGGAAAUAUUAAGUUCUUACUAGGAGGCCAGCACGUCUUUGACAAGUACGGAUGUAUUCCACAAACUGACUGCAAUAGAAGUGCCACAGUAUCUGGCGUGCUCAAUGCAUUCACGUACAACUCUACCUGCUGUUUAUCGAGUUUCUGCAAUGGGGCCUUCACAGCGCGAGCCCCCCACCUCCUCGUUUUAGGAACACUCAGUGCUUUUAUACUGUACAUUAUAUCUUGAAGCAAAUAAUGAUUCUGUGAAGGGUGUUUAGGGGCUCAUUAAUGUGACACAUUCAUGUCUACGUCAUUAUUUUGCCCACUACUUGGAAACAUAUGGGGUGAGGGUAUAACACUGUGCACACACAAGAUGUACUAGCUUAUAUAAAGGAUGAUUGCUCCAAAGCUGCUCAGUACAACCAUUGAGAUUUGUAUUUGGCUAUGUACAAUUAAAUUAAAGAGAACAUGUGAUUGGCUGCAUGGUUUCAGAGACAUACUCUCUGAUUGGAAGAGCAAUAUGAGCCUUGCUAUUUAUAGUGAAUUUAAAACAUUUUUCCUAUAGCUGAACUAAUAUGAUUUAUUCCAAAAACCUGGUUCAAUAAUAACCCAAACCACAAGUCCAGCAAGGGUAUGGCCAUGGGCACCAUCCUUGCCAGUAACUUGCCUAAAGAUGCCUGUAAUUUGAGCAAAGCCCCAGGUUGUGUCGUGUUAUAAUAUAUCACACUUUACAGGAUAGGUGGAUAUCAUUACAGACACAAGAUGGUAGUACUUCAGGGCAGGGUCUGGGUCAUCUUCCCCAUGAGUGAGAACCUUGCCUCAGAUGGAAACAUCAUAUGUUUGGCACAGACAAGGUUAUCGCCUAAUCUCCUGCCCUCUAACACUCCUCUACCCCAUGCCUGCACCACCCUAUUCACCAUUCAGUAAUUGAUUACAGACGUUGCACUAAAUGUUCUUCCUCUUUCACUACUCCAUCCACCAUGUCAUUCAGCGCUACAGCAGUGAGUGGCAUGGAGGAUGGGGUCUGGAUUGGGGGUGGGACGCUCCUGGCUGUUAGGUCCAUCACCUUCAAAUGCAAUUAGACAUAGACCCCCACAAAAUAGAUACCCUAGCACUAGCGCACGCAGGGGGGGUUUCUGAGUACCCAGAAACCCCCCCUGACAGACAAAAUUAUUUUUUAAGCAAAAAAACCCUGAGCCGCGGUCCGCUAUUUAGGCUCCGCCCCUCCAGAAUUUGGCCCCGCCCCUUCAAACACCUUGCCCAAGCUGUGCUGUGUGUGUAUUGGAAGCUGCUCUGAUUGCCUCAGUCCCCACUGGUUGCUGCUUCCUGUUACUACCCAGCCCACUGUCUGAUCUUCACUUGUAAGUGCAACAAUUAUACUUGCAUAUAUUUUUCAU